rnacentral:lncRNA from 1 species
UGGGAAGUAUAUUUCGGCACCAACAAUGGUGACCAGUGGCCACAGUUCUAGAGUCUGGACGUCUGAGAUCAGGGUGCCAGCACUGUCGAGGUCACAGACUGCAGACCUCCUUGUAUCUUCAAAUGGAGGAAAGAGGACAAGAGAGCUCCUGUGGUCCCUUUUAUCAAGAUGAAUGCACAAGGAAAAUGUUGUACAUUUGCACAUUGGAGUACACUUCAGCCAUAAAAAGAAUGAGAUGCUGUCAUUUGCAACAACAGGU